GACGAACGCUGGCGGCGUGCUUAACACAUGCAAGUCGAACGUGAUUUUUGUGGAAAUUCUUUCGGGAAUGGAAAUGAAAUGAAGGUGGCGAACGGGUGAGUAACACGUGAGCAACCUACCUUACACAGGGGGAUAGCCGUUGGAAACGACGAUUAAUACCGCAUGAGACCACAGAAUCGCAUGAUAUAGGGGUCAAAGAUUUAUCGGUGUAAGAAGGGCUCGCGUCUGAUUAGCUAGUUGGAAGGGUAAAGGCCUACCAAGGCGACGAUCAGUAGCCGGUCUGAGAGGAUGAACGGCCACAUUGGAACUGAGACACGGUCCAAACUCCUACGGGAGGCAGCAGUGGGGAAUAUUGCACAAUGGGGGGAACCCUGAUGCAGCGACGCCGCGUGAGCGAAGAAGGUUUUCGAAUCGUAAAGCCCUGUCCUAUGAGAAGAUAAUGACGGUAUCAUAGGAGGAAGCCCCGGCUAAAUACGUG
rnacentral:rRNA from 1 species